GAAAAAAAAAACAGUUAUAGUUGUAUAAAGACCUAAAAUAGUGCCAGCCUGACCAAUCGUAAUUGCGUCUGAGGGGCCCUAAUGGUCUAAGAUGUAUAAAAUAUCGCCGAACUUCACUCAGAAUCGCUUUUCGUUAGCAAUUUAUUAUUGAUUAAUCGCUAGAAUUACACUACGAGCAUUACAUUUCGAUAUCGUAAACUGCGUACCUACUGUUGUUAUUGGAUAUUCGUUUUCUUGUUAGUAUUCGUCCGUUACGUGAUGUUCUCGAACGUGCGCGCAUAACAUUAUUAUUUAUUAUAAUAUUAACCGUAUGUUAUAGUGUUUAAGAUUUUGAGUAGAGCAAAGAAGCUUAUGGUUUUAUAUAAAUGUUUAUUUUUUUUUUCUUUGGACAACUUUUCUACCAGUGAUCUUGCUCCGAUUAACAAGUGUAGCACAUUUCCUGAAAGGAAAUCGGGCUGGGGAGGUAAUUUUUUUAAUUUUUUCAGGAAUUUUCCUAAUAAAUUGGAAAAUUUACGAAAUGUAGGCAUUAAUUGAAAAAUAUAUCUGCCUUUUUUUUCGAGUGAACAACUUUUUUAAUAGUAAAAAUAAUAAUAAUUUUUUUUUUGAAAUAAAACGAGCGUAAACCC